rnacentral:rRNA from 1 species
CAGGGAUUGCCUCAGUAACGGCGAGUGAAGCGGCAGCAGCUCAAAUUUGAAAGCCGGCCCUUUGCGGGGCCCGCGUUGUAAUUUGCAGAGGGUGUUUCGGGCGCGGCGCCGGUCUAAGUUCUUUGGAACGAGACAUCACAGAGGGUGAGAAUCCCGUAUGUGACUGGUGGCCUGUGCCCAUGUGAAACUCUUUCGACGAGUCGAGUUGUUUGGGAAUGCAGCUCAAAAUGGGAGGUGUAUUUCUUCUAAAGCUAAAUAUUGGCCAGAGACCGAUAGCGCACAAGUAGAGUGAUCGAAAGAUGAAAAGCACUUUGGAUAGAGAGUUAAACAGCACGUGAAAUUGUUGAAAGGGAAGCGCUUGCAAUCAGACUUGCGCGGCGCCGAUCAGCCCGGGUUCUCCCGGGCGCACUCGGCGCCGCUCAGGCCAGCAUCGGCUCCGGCGGUGGGAUAAAGACCCGAGGAACGUGAGCCGCUUCGGCGACUGUUAUAGCCUCGGGUGCCAUGCCACCUGCCGGGGCCGAGGACCGCGCUUCGGCUAGGAUGCUGGCGUAAUGGUUGUAAGCGACCCGUCUUGAAACACGGACCAAGGAGUCUAACAUCUAUGCGAGUGUUUGGGUGUCAAACCCAUGCGCGUAAUGAAAGUGAACGGAGGUGAGAACCCUGAAGGGUGCAUCAUCGACCGAUCCUGAUGUCUUCGGAUGGAUUUGAGUAAGAGCAUAGCUGUUGGGACCCGAAAGAUGGUGAACUAUGCCUGAAUAGGGUGAAGCCAGGGGAAACCCUGGUGGAAGCUCGCAGAGGUUCUGACGUGCAAAUCGAUCUUCAAAUUUGGGUAUAGGGGCGAAAGACUAAUCGAACCAUCUGCCGGUGGUUGAGAGGCGCCAAUGGACGCCUAGUCUCCUUCGGGAGGCUAUACUGCAAAUGUGCGGGGACCCUCUGACCGCCUAAACUACCGCCCGCUUGGUCGAAAGGCCGAGCCGGGCACCGGCCGUUGCUGCCGGGUACGGUGACAACGUUUAGGAUUGAGCGAUCCGCAGCCACGCCCUACGGCGGCCGAUCCGUGCCGCUAUGGGUGGGGUUCAUCGACUAGAUGGCAGUGGGUGGGAGCUUGCCUAGUCAGCUCUCGCUUAAGGGAUAGUCAGAUCGCGGCAGGGAUGCCGCGGCGCAAUCG